CACAGUGUUUGAAACAGGACAAUCCAAUGUCAGGACGAGGACAGCACACCGUGACGGAGAGCAAUUGCAGUCUGCAGAGAAGCACAGGACUUUCAGUAAUAGAGGGAAUGGGGGAAAGACGUAAAGAUGUCCUUCUCCCAAGGAAUGAGAAGAGCAUCUCCCAUGGAGUGUCAUCCAACCCUUGCCCUGGAGCAGUACCGUGGACAUAUCUUGUUCUGGAUAGUCCUGAGGACUGAAGCCAGGAGCUCCGCCUCAUGACCACUGCUGAGGCCAUGAAUCAGGUUGCCAAGUCUGCCAUGUCCAAUGCAGUUUGGAGGGAUGCUUUGACCACCACCUUACCCUCCUCUACGAGGGCCAAGAAUUUAGUCCUGGAGUCCAAAGGUAACAGUUCCUUAAAUUUUGUCAUGGCCAACCACACAUUAAAAUCAUAGUGGCCCAAGAGGGCUUGAUAAUUGGCUAUUUUCAGCUGGAGGCCCCGUGUUGAGUAUACCUUCCUGCCCAGUAAGUUCAGUUUCAUGGCCCCUUUCACCUUGGACAAUGGCCCUUAUUGCCCCUGUUUCUCCUUUUCAUUAGCUGCCAGGACAACCAGCAAGCCCAGUGGAGGGUUAGUAUCCUCAUAUCCCAUGGGGGGCACAAAAUAUUUCCUUUCCAUCCACUUAGCUGUGGGGUGGAGGGAAGCAGGAGUCUGCCACAGAGUCUUUACAGGCUGCAAGAUGGCAUCAUUUAAAGGGAGGGCCACCCUUGACAAACCCAAGGGCACUAGUAUGUCCAUCAGGGCAUGGGCUGACUCAAGAGAUUUCCUCAGCCUGUAUUCCCAAGUUCUGGGUGACACCAUGCAGAAGCUCUUGAUGAGCCCUAUAGUCAUCUUGCGUGGGCACCAUGGUCAUCCCUGCCACUGCCUCAUAUGGGUAGAAGGACAAUGAAGUUUGUACCAGAACCGGGCCUUGUACCUCCUCUGUUGCCCUGUGUCCCGGUGCCAACCUCAGCAUGAGGGAUCAAACCCCUUUCAGAUGGGGAAGGCAGAGGCACUCUCACCUCCAAGCAUCCGGAGUGGAAACCUUGGAACAGAUGGAUCACCCAAGGGUACCAGAUUGGCAUUUACCAUUGUGUCGAUGACUACGCUAUCAGUAUGUGUCCUUGUGCCAUAGCUGCCAGGUGUCUAUGGUCAGCUUGGUACCUGCUCCUCCAGGAGGUGUACGAGUCUGCCUCCAAUUUAGAGCCCAAGGACCCACUCCUGGGUGAUCACGGUGGCGUGAUGCUGUGAUGGGGAUUGGUGCCAUGAUGGAGAGCAGUGCUGCGAUAAAGACCAGUGCAGUGAGGGAGAGCUCAAUGGAUGGUGGUGCCACGCCAUCAUUGCCGGCUUGCCCUCUACUGGCACCUGCUUCGAUGCUGAAGCAUCCCAUGGUGCUGGAGCUGUCAUCAACAGUCCACAACCUGAGGGGGAUGGUGGUACUGGGAGAGCAAAGAGGCUCCUGGCCACCUCAAAAGCCUCCAGCGUCAAUUGUAAAGCCUAGGCUGUAUCCCACUGAUGGCUCUGUCUAGGCAGAGAGUCCACCAGUAUUAAACUUGGUGGUCCCCUUCCCAUGGCCAGAGUCAGUGGUGCUGCAUGGUCCAUAGGCACCUCAGAGUGACCUGCCACAGGUCGCACUCUUUCUGUGGCCUUAUGUCCUGGGGUCAGAGAGAGCUCCUGGUCUGACUUCUUCUGUCUCUUUUUCAGCACUGGCAAUGGGGAGCAGUGCCGGGAGGCUGGAGUUGGUGCUGACUUCCUGCACACCAGAGAACCAUGGCGGUACUGGGGAGCAGAG